rnacentral:rRNA from 1 species
AGCGAACGCUGGCGGCAUGCUUAACACAUGCAAGUCGCACGGUCGGAGCAAUCCGGCAGUGGCGGACGGGUGAGUAACGCGUAGGUAUUUGUCCAAGGGUGGGGGAUAACGCCGGGAAACUGGUGCUAAUACCGCAUGAUGACCGAGGUCCAAAGGUCGCAAGACCGCCCAUGGAGGAGCCUGCGUCCGAUUAGCUUGUUGGUGGGGUAAUGGCCUACCAAGGCUUUGAUCGGUAGCUGGUCUGAGAGGAUGAUCAGCCACACUGGGACU